UUACCUUAGCAUUCAGUGAGGAGCUGGCAAAGUGAAAACACGAACAUGUUGAACAUUAAAGUUGCUGUGGUCCUGAUGGUAUUGCUUACAACAGCCACUUCGUUCAUGUUGAUGAACAGAGCUGGACAUCUAGAGAAACGUGAUGAUUGGUGCCGGGGAAAAUGGCAGGAAUGUGUAUAUACCCAGUUACCCUGUUGCGAUGGAUACUACUGCAGUAAAUAUGCUCAAGUUUGUUUUCCAAACGUAAAAUGAAGUUCCAGAUUUCUAUUGGAAGAUCUUUUGCAUCAAACAAGACCGCAAGCGUCUUCUGUGUGUUGGAUUUAAAUUGAUUUUAUUUCUAGAAUGAUUUAAUGAAAGAGAUAAAGUUUUAAG